GCGUUUUCUGCCCGUUCAUUGGGAAGCAGCAAGAACAUUUGGCCUUAUCAUCGGACGCACGGCUAGGACCACCUUCUACACAAGCAUCAGCACUUCCUCUUUUGCCAUUAGCAACAUGUAUCUGGAUCAUGGACCAGCGAGCGGUAGCAACAAGAACAUAUUCGGUACUUCGACCAACAUAGCUGAAGAAGCUAAUUUUCGCUUUAUCUUGGGAAAGCACCGGAAAUGCGUUCAGAGCUUGGUGAUGGUAUCACACCUGCCCAAACAUCUCAGCGACUCACUUAACUCUUCUGCCGGAAAUGGUUGUAUUGGCCCUAUAGUCGCUGGAGGAGGAACCUUUUCGAUUCCAUCCAGUAUUAUAAUUUCAAAAUUGACUGGGCAGGGUAGGUAACGGCCUGGUACAGGAGAAUAGGACGGCAGAGGAAAAUUCCCAGGACAAUUAGUAGACGCCAAAUGACUUUGUAGGUGAAGAAACGUCAACGAACUAAAGAAUGUCAUAAUCUUUUCCGGGAAAAAAAAAUCCUGAGCCAUCAUAAGUUGGAGCAAAACAACAUCGAAUUUCUAACGGAAUAGUGGUUUCCGCAACUAAGAAGGAAAAGUACA